GUAAUUACUGCGUUCAAGCGAACACGACUAAUUACCCUAGAGCUAGCACCAAAUUAUUCGUAAAAUUUUAGUUCGGAAUCCAAUCCACCGUUCGUUUUGCAGUUUUCUUUCUAUUUCGCAAUCGAUUCUUUUGUUCGCAAUAAUUUUUCAACCGAAGAAUUUAAUUCCCGACGCGACUAAUCGAAGAGUAGAUUCGGAGAAAAAACAUUUCCUCCACCGGGUUAUCACCGCAAAUCGUUUGACGUUCAAUUCAUUUCAUCUCAUUAUUCUUUAACCCUCCAACAGCUAUUCGGUUAUCACCGAUGACAGUGGUACGUCAUUCCGUGGUUUAUAAAGGGAAGCAACUGGCCAACUGACACUAGUCUCUCGAGAUGACUUGUGGAAUUAGCGCACGCCACGGCGCUGGUGGCCUGCUCGGGCGUCGAGUGAGAUUGACAUUCCCUUCGUAAUUCCAAGGGAUUUCGAUGGCCUCGUCAGGGGAGGUGAAACCGAUUGAGAACCUAACUAAUUGAGGGAGCUUGGAACAGUGGAAAUCGACUGGUGGACGUUUUGGAAUAGCAACCGAUUGUCAAUCCAGUUUAUCGAUAAUUACGAAUUUCGUGCAGUGCAAUGAAGUACAGUCCAGAAGUCGAUAAAGAGAAUUUUUAUACGUAUUAAGAACGUUCAGAAUAUAUUCUAAGUGCAUAAUCUACUCAUUUGUCAGUAUUAAUGAUAAUUAAAGAUAAUAAAACAUGCAUUCGUUAUUUUACUACAAUUA